rnacentral:lncRNA from 1 species
AGGAAGGUAGGGCUCCAGGCACAGAGAUUUCGUGAUCCGAUAUUCCAGGUGAAUUGCGGAUCGGGGCUGGAAGUGAUUGGAGCAUUGCUGGUUGGAUCGGAUGCUGCAAUGGCGUGUGCUGUGGCCAGGAAAAGCCUCUGGUCUCAUCGAACGAUGCUGCUACUCGAUCCAGCUCCAGCGAUGGCAUUACGUUCUUCUCUCAGGCCCUACAACCGAUCGAGCAAUCUUCCUUUUCCGCGAAAGAGUUUUGGGAAUCCACAGCGCUUCUUCAUUGUCAAGUCGAGCUUGGCCUUUCGCUCUACACAUCUUCUGGAACUUCCUCAGGUACUUUUUUUCUCUUAUACAUUUCUAACUGUGUGACAUUAGAUCUUAAGAAGCAGCUGGAUGGGAAAAUUAGAGACCUUCCCCAGAGUUUCACGAGCUCAAGCACUGUAUGUAUUAUGGAAGGAUCGUCGAGAAGAUUUCUCGUUCGCUCUCAAUCUAACGAAGAGCUACAAUCUGUGUUCCCAGAUUCAGCUCUUU